AAAGAAGAAAAUUGAAAAACUGACCGCCACAUUGCACUAUCUUGAUAGUGAGCCAUCAAACAAGCAUAUUUACCAUGUUGGAGACAGGGAGGUAAAGAGUUGAAGUCAUGGUCUUCAGAAAAUAAAAUUGUGUCUGCUUUUGGGGAUGUCCCUGGUGACAUUAAGAGGAUUCACCAACCUUCCCCAACCCAAAACAAGGAUGUUUCUUGAUUCAGAUGGAAUGUUUAUUGUAUUAAUCAGAAAUCUACGGAAUCUUUCCAGCUGUGAGAUAGGCCAGUUACAUUAAUGUCAUAAUUUCUUAUUUUUAUGACGAGGAAAACAGCCAGUUCCUACAGAGAGCUAGAAG
rnacentral:misc_RNA from 1 species